rnacentral:lncRNA from 1 species
UUUGACCCUGAAUGCAGAGAAUAAAUACUUUAUUAACUGAUUACAGUUGAAAGUCAUGAACAAAAAAGGAGUAUAUUAAGGCAGAGCCAUAUAUAUACACACACAUAUAUAUAUAUGUAUAGACAACUGCAAAGCCAGUUCUCCCUUCCGUGCUCAUAACCUCAGCAUCUCUCACCCUCGGGUGGUGUGCUUUCUUUCUUCUUGAUUAAAGGAGCAUAGCAUCUUGGCCAGUAGUUCUGGUCCACUUGAUGGUGGCACAUGGGAUCACGGAGUGUGAGCCUAUGGGGGUUUCUCAGCACACCUCAGGUGCCAUACACAUCUAUUGGUCGGUGUGUGAAAUCUGACAACUGACCAGUCUUCUUCAGAAAAACAUGGUAUCUUUAAAAAUGAUUGGAAUAG